rnacentral:rRNA from 1 species
UACGUAGGGAGCAAGCGUUAUCCGGAUUUAUUGGGUGUAAAGGGUGCGUAGGCGGGAAGGCAAGUUGAAUGUGAAAUACCGGGGCUCAACUCCGGGGCUGCGUUCAAAACUACUUUUCUUGAGUACAGCAGAGGCAAGCGGAAUUCCCAGUGUAGCGGUAAUAUGCGUAGAUAUUGGGAGGAACACCGGUGGCGAAGGCGGCUUGCUGGGCUGCAACUGACGCUGAGACACGAAAGCGUGGGGAGCAAACGGGAUUAGAUACCCCGGUAGUCCACGCGGUAAACGGUGCGCACUAGGUGUGAGGGGUAUCGACCCCCCUUGUGCCGAAGUCAACACAUUAAGUGCGCCGCCUGGGGAGUACGGCCGCAAGGUUGAA